AUUGAACGCUGGCGGCAUGCCUUACACAUGCAAGUCGAACGGCAGCACGGGAGCAAUCCUGGUGGCGAGUGGCGAACGGGUGAGUAAAGCAUCGGAACGUGCCCAGUCGUGGGGGAUAACGUAGCGAAAGCUACGCUAAUACCGCAUACGAUCUGCGGAUGAAAGCGGGGGACCGUAAGGCCUCGCGCGAUUGGAGCGGCCGAUGUCAGAUUAGGUAGUUGGUGAGGUAAAGGCUCACCAAGCCGACGAUCUGUAGCUGGUCUGAGAGGACGACCAGCCAGACUGGGACUGAGACACGGCCCAGACUCCUACGGGAGGCAGCAGUGGGGAAUUUUGGACAAUGGGCGCAAGCCUGAUCCAGCAAUGCCGCGUGCAGGAUGAAGGCCUUCGGGUUGUAAACUGCUUUUGUACGGAGCGAAACGGCUUCCACUAAUACUGGGGGCUAAUGACGGUACCGUAAGAAUAAGCACCGGCUAACUACGUGCCAGCCGCCGCCGUAACAC
rnacentral:rRNA from 1 species